GCUUACCGUUUUAAAGGGUUUUGAGGGUCCAUUGAAACCGUACCCUUGGAGCAAACACAAAAGGAAUCUGUGCAUGGGCAAUGGUACUAGUAAUGACUAAAUACUAAUUUUGGAGAACUGACUGCUCCAUGAAGUCAUUCCUGUCUCAGGCCUAUAGUGGUAUUGAUACUACAGAGGCAUCAUUCAGAAUCUGGCCACUGAAGCAAAAACCUCAUUCACUCAGGUGGAUGGAUCAGUGAGCCCCUUACAAGCACCUCAACCCAGUAGACGACUUGACAAGGCUGAUGGGCGGAGAAAGGGUUCUUUCUUUCCUCCACAUUUGUGAGCAUAUUACAUUGCAUGACCAAGCGAAUAUACAUAUUCCUCUGGUUGAAACAAGAAGGGAGGGAGUCAAUUACAAAGAUGAAUCAGGAAAAAAAAAAGAAAGAAAAAUGAGAAAGAGAAAAGAAAGGAACGGAAAAGAAGGGAUAAGCCAGUACAUUUCUCCUGACACUGACUCACUUGUUCUUAUACAAUAGUGGAAUGAGGUCAGUCUGGUAAAAUUAGCCAUCCGCUUCAUGGCAGGACUGAAUGCCAGGCCAGUGAGAGGGGACGGAGAGUCUCCAUUUGAGAAACCAGAGAAAUAAAGAAACUACAUUUUUUUUUGACAGAGAGUGAGAUGAAGUAUUGGGAAGAGAGGAGAAGAAGGUCAUUUGCUAAAAGCCCAGAACUCCUACUCUGCGUAAGGUUUCCCAAAGACUCCCCUCAUCUGUCAUUGGCUGGAAAAAAAAAAAAACAGCCCGAACUCACACCAUUGGUUGAGCUGCUGUUGCUGUGGUCAGGCUAGUUGGGAUAGUCGGGAUGUUAAAACAAACAUAGCAAUGUUUUCAUUACACCACAGAGCCGGUGUUUACACUUUUCAAGGGACUUACAAACUUAGAGUUGUCUCUGCAUAUUAAGCUGGCGAACGUUUUUAAUGGUGAAAAAACUGCACGCGUAAUCAUUAAGAAAACAAUCGCCUGAAGUUUUAUUCAUCUAUAAAUUCGAAGGUGGACGUAAGAGUGAGAGACAGAGAGGCAGGGAAGUGACAGAAGGAGAGUAGGAGAGGGAAGAAAAAGAGGAAGAGGCAUUGGGUUUCCACUGACUGUAUGUCUGGGCAGCUCCAUAUGGUCCUCAUUAAGGUGCUCACUCUGUGGGAGCAGCUCCACACCGCGCUGCUUGUUUUUCUUAUUAGGCCCAUCACAUUUUGGUAUGGAGGGCACUGGAAUAUUGGGCCACUGACAGGUCCUGCUCAGUUGUUAUCAUUAACUAAGACUAGAUUGUAUUAUUCUAUGUACUUGCCAAAAUAUCAAAAGGUUUGAUUGGACACAGCUUUUGAAGCCUCUUAAAAAUACGAACGCAUGAUGCGUUUUACAUUUUUCCACAGCUGUGCAAACCAUGUUGAAAGUGGAGUCUAGUGUCCUUCAACUGUGCAACUGUGAGAAAUGAGGCCUAAAAAUGUGUUUACCCACACUGUUAGGCUAAAACUAAACUUUUUUCAGUAGUGCAUUUGAGUCACAGAGGAGAGAUUUGCUGCACUGGUGAUAGAGUCUCAGAGCAAUUACCAUAGAUAACAGGGACAGAAGUGUGUGCCUGUAAGAGGCUGCCACUGAUACCAUCUCUGCUCAAGGAUCCCACUUAACUGGCUUGAUUGAUGCCCAACCGAGCCCUAGGGGGUCCGGAAAGAUAAGUUCUAUGUGGGCCCUAAGUGGAUUGCUUUCUACCUGAGAGCUGUUGUGUAUUAAUUUGUAAUGAUUGCACUUGAAGUACAUUGGAAAAGUAGUUGCAUUUGAAAAGAGUUUCUGUGCACUGACAUUGUUGGGUUCAGACUGAAAAUAGUAAGCAUUUGCACCUAAUUUUUGGUGCUGCGCUGUCAAACACCAAUCCUUUUUUUCUUCUCACUCCCCCUUAAAGCUGUUUCCUUCUGCUCAAGAGAUGCUGUUGACAUAGUGUCAAGCUCAGUUCUUUUUAAAAAGAUAAACACACAAGUAACCUUAGAGUCAGGGUCAUAAGGUCUUCUCAGUUUGGUGAAGAAAGAUAGAGGAAGUAAACAAAGGCAGAAUGAGGAGAAGCUUUAGAUCUCGUCUCUAAGAAAGGCUGAGCUUAAGCGAAGGCAAUCUGUGGGAUCAACUCUGAGCUGCUUCCAUCCAUACCUGACAAUAGGUGAAUCCAAAACACUUUGUUGUUGAACUUUAGGUUUCCGAUUAACAGCCAUAUACAUACAACAUAAAACAUUUCAAGCCAUAUCAGUGGGGUCCAAAACAACACCGAAAACACUGAGACCGUUUUCAAGAUAUAUUUUCUGUGUACCACAGAAGAAAGAAGGCCAGACUGGUUUGGAACAACAUUUUUUUGGCUGCCAGAUUCGGAGAUCCUUUGAAAUGUUCAGCGGUGUCACAGUGCUGCGUUCAUCUCCCAAGUUCUCAAUUAAAACCCACUGCUCACAAAGCUGAGAAGAACAGAGGAAUGCUCAAUGUGAGACAUCUGCGAACAACUCAUCGACGAGGCGCGACCCCCAACCCAAAACGUGUGAGAGAGUGGAGAGCAUCUUCUUUCUUCUCAAGGGCACCCUAGGGAGGCAGCAAGCACGGUCCGCUGCUGCUUAAAGACUUGGCCGUGGUGCCAAAGACACAUCUGGUCCGUUUGAGCCGUGCAGAUGCUACUUGGAACCAUCUCCAUCUCAACAAACUGUCUGAAAGAAUACGGCACAUGUAAUAAUGAGCUCUUUUUCUUCAAAUGGUCUCAUCGUCAGAGCAUUUGGACUGAGAUGAGGCGGUUUCAACAGGAAUAUAAUCUGGAACGAAUUGAGCAAAUUAUAACUCUGACUGGUAAAUCUCAAAUUCCCAGUGUCUUUUCAUGUAAACUGGCUGAAAUACUGUGAAAGGCCAAAGUUCUCAGCAAAUACAUGGCAAAAAUCCAAUAUAUGUCUAGUGACAAAUUAACGGGCCAUUAUAAGCCAUUGUGUUGCCUGAUGUACAUGCUAGGUAAAAAAUGCAUGAAUUUCCAUGCUAGCCAGAGCUAAUCUAUUUUGGUUAAAGGCCUACGGUAUGUGUCUGUCUGUGUCACAUCUAGAUCGAUCUAUCUAUCUAUCUAGAAGGGGCGCGUCCCAUAAUGCAAUGCUUUUUGAUAACCGCCACAACAUGAAUAAGAGCAGAACAAGAUGAGACAUAUAUCACAGAUGUUUACCAGGGGGCACAUUACAGAAAGAUACUAACUUUACAAUCCGAUCUUAUCUGUUUGGUAAUCAUGGCAAUUUCAGUUAAGACCUAAUUUAGGACAAAUCUAUACGACAAUUCACGAUGACGUCACUACAGUAAUAGACGUUCUUCCGGGUGGCAAAACCCGAAGCAUUCCUAUGGCAACGCUAGUAAAUUGCUUGGAAGGGAGA